GACGAACGCUGGCGGCGUGCUUAACACAUGCAAGUCGAGCGAGGUCCAUCCAGUGGCAACACUGGGGAAGACCUAGCGGCGAACGGGUGAGUAACACGUGAGCAACCUGCCCCGAAGACUGGGAUAACACCGGGAAACCGGUGCUAAUACCGGAUGCCCUCCUCUGGUCGCAUGGCCUAGGGAGGAAAGGACUGUAUCUAAUAAAUGCAGCUGCUUCGGGAGGGGCUCGCGGGCUAUCAGCUUGUUGGUGAGGUAACGGCUCACCAAGGCGACGACGGCUAGCUGGUCUGAGAGGACGACCAGCCACACUGGGACUGAGACACGGCCCAGACUCCUACGGGAGGCAGCAGUGGGGAAUCUUGCGCAAUGGGCGAAAGCCUGACGCAGCAACGCCGCGU
rnacentral:rRNA from 1 species